AGGUACACACUACACAUGUGCGACGAUCAACCACAAAAUGAGAAUCAAAAAAUACCAAUACAUUUGAAAUAACGAAAUUUCCACUUCCCAGCAUAAUCCAUAAUGUAUAUUUGAUAAUGCAUUGAUAAACAUUGAUAAGCAUUAUAGAAAACGCAAGUAGGAGGUAGGUAUUUAAUAUUUAUGAAUAUUUCAAGUUCACUUGUAUAGUCGUAUGAUAUAUUGUAUAUACCGGUAUAAAAAAUUGGCAACAACGCUUAAAACUCCG